AACGAACGCUGGCGGCAGGCUUAACACAUGCAAGUCGAACGCUUGGGAGCGAUCCCUUGAGUGGCAGACGGGUGAGUAACGCGUGGGAACAUACCCUUCGGUACGGAACAACUUGGGGAAACUCGAGCUAAUACCGUAUGCGGCCUAUGGGCGAAAGAUUGUAUCGCCGAAGGAUUGGCCCGCGUCCGAUUAGCUAGUUGGUGGGGUAACGCCACCAAGGCGACGAUCGGUAGCUGGUCUGAGAGGAUGGCCAGCCACAUUGGGACUGAGACACGGCCCAAACUCCUACGGGAGGCAGCAGUGGGGAAUAUUGCGCAAUGGGCGAAAGCCUGACGCAGCGACGCCGCGUGGGGGAGUGAAGGUCUUCGGAUU
rnacentral:rRNA from 1 species